rnacentral:rRNA from 1 species
UACGUAGGGUGCAAGCGUUGUCCGGAAUUAUUGGGCGUAAAGAGCUCGUAGGCGGUUUGUCGCGUCUGCUGUGAAAUCCCAGGGCUUAACCCUGGGCCUGCAGUGGGUACGGGCAAACUAGAGUGCGGUAGGGGAGAUCGGAAUUCCUGGUGUAGCGGUGGAAUGCGCAGAUAUCAGGAGGAACACCAAUGGCGAAGGCAGAUCUCUGGGCCGUAACUGACGCUGAGGAGCGAAAGCAUGGGGAGCGAACAGG